GGGAACUACGAGCUAAGCUUAAAACCCAAAGGACUUGACGGUACCCCAUAUCCCCCUAGAGGAGCCUGUCCUUUAAUCGACAACCCCCGUUAAACCUCACCAUUUCUAGUAAUUCAGCCUGUAUACUUCCGUCGUCAGCUUACCACGUGAGCGAAAGUGAGCCUAAUGUUUAUCUAACUACACGUCAGGUCAAAGUGCAGCACAUGAUAUGGGAAGAGAUGGGCUACACUCUCUACUAUAGAGCAUACGAAUAGACUUUAUGAAAUCUAGUCUAAAGGUGGAUUUAGAAGU
rnacentral:rRNA from 1 species